GACGAACGCUGGCGGCGUGCCUAAUACAUGCAAGUAGAACGCAGUUGCGAACGGGUGAGUAACGCGUAGGUAACCUGCCUCAUAGCGGGGGAUAACUAUUGGAAACGAUAGCUAAUACCGCAUACUGUGAGAUGGACCUGCGUUGUAUUAGCUAGUUGGUGAGGUAAAGGCUCACCAAGGCGACGAUACAUAGCCGACCUGAGAGGGGGAUGGGCCACACUGGGACUGAGACACGGCCCAGACUCCUACGGGAGGCAGCAUUGGGGAAUAUUGCAAAAUGGGCGCAAUCCUGAGGCAGCCAUGCCGGGUGUAUGAAGAGGGCCUUCGGGUUGUAAAGUACGUUCAGCGGGGAGGCGUUAACCGCAGAAGAAGCACCGGCUAACUCCGUGCCAGCAGCCGCGGUAAUAC
rnacentral:rRNA from 1 species